UUCCUUCCACUCUCUAAUAAACACUACAAAGGCAGUGUCAAGGAAACAGCCGGCCCUAUCCCUUUCUUUAUGGGCCUAGCUCAGGCCAUUCCCGAUUAAAAAAAACAAAAACAAAAACAAAAAAAACCUAGCCACCCUCAGAAACCAACUCCCUUUUUAAACAGGAGUUUCUUUCAACCUGUUACUGGAGAAUUUCAGAAUCAUGCCUGUUGAACAAGAUGGCCCACUUCACAAGGUGAAGUUGUGCUCCUACCCAAGAAGCCAUGUAUGAGAGAAGGCAACAAGGCCAAGCCUCAGUGGAGGCCCAGAGUUAAAGGGGUACAAAGAAAGUGCUCACAGAUUAGAAGCAAUGAGGGAACAAGGAAGGGGAGCUGCAGAUGGUAAAAGACAAUGGAGAACGUCUCUAGGUCCAGCCCACACUGGACCACACUGGACUGUGGAAGGGAUCCUACAGGUCAUGAAUACCAGGAGGCUGGGAUCAUCUCCACGGACACCCACCAAUAUUACAACAAGCAGAGAAGUUGAAUCUAAAGUUGGUUUCCUCCCCUCAGUUACCUUGGUUCCCAACUCCAAGUUCAGUACAGAACUCCAACAUUCCUUGUGAGAAAAAAAAAAUCCUUGAUUGGCUCACCUCCCUGCGAUGCCAAUU